GACGAACGCUGGCGGCGUGCCUAAUACAUGCAAGUAGAACGCAGUUGCGAACGGGUGAGUAACGCGUAGGUCACUGCCUGGUAGCGGGGGAUAACUAUUGGAACCGAUAGCUAAUACCGCAUACUCCCAGAUGGACCUGCGUUGUAUUAUCUAGUUUGUGCGGUACCGGCUCACCAAGGCAACGAUUCAUAGCCGACCAGAGGGGGUGAACGGCCAAACUUGGACUGAGACACGGGCCAGACUCCUACGGGGGGGAGGAGUAGGGAAACUGUGGCAAUGGGGGGAAACCUGACCGAGCAACUCCGCGGGGUGGGAGGAGGGUUUCCGAGCGGAAAACUCUGUUGUUAAGGAAGCGGUACUUAACCAGAAAGGGACGGCUAACUACGUGCCAGCAGCCGCGGUAAUAC
rnacentral:rRNA from 1 species